rnacentral:lncRNA from 13 species
CCUCCUCCGUCGUCAGACCAGGCCUCCUCCUCCGUCGUCAGACCUGGUGUUGAGAUGAAGUAGUCGACUGUUGGUACCAGUCAGUCGGUGAACUGAUUAUCCAAUUUGAGCUCCUAAAAAUAUGUUGAUCCGACAUUCCAGAAUGAUGCUGUCUGUCAGGUCUUAUAGAGGGCUUAGCAUCUAACAGUAACCAACGUGCUGUCAAACAUCAUGUCUCGGUCAGUGGAUUAAAGCAUGUUAGUCGCUAGGCCUUAGCCUGGGUGCCAGUCAUGUUCUGCUCUCUUUAGCUCCACAAUGACAAUAGGGAGUAGGCAAAAGCACAAACCAAUCAGGGACCAGGCUAGCUAGCUAGACCUGUUUCUGGGCCCGUAGCUGGGCCUGUAUCUGGGCCCAGUAGUAGUAGUAGUCUAUAGUAACACAGACACCAUGAUGUGUCUAGACCUGUAUCUGGGCCUGUAUCUGGGCCCAGUAGUAGUCUAUAGUAACACAGACACCAUGAUGUGUCUAGACCUGUAUCUGGGCCUGUAUCUGGGCCCAGUAGUAGUAGUAGUCUAUAGUAACACAGACACCAUGAUGUGUCUAUACCUGUAUCUGGGCCUGUAUCUGGGCCCAGUAGUAGUAGUAGUCUAUAGUAACACAGACACCAUGAUGUGUCUAGACCUGUCUCUGGGCCCAGAGCUGGGCCUGUAUCUGGGCCCAGUAUUAGUAGUAGUCUAUAGUAACACAGACACCAUGAUGUGUCUAGACCUGCAUCUGGGCCUGUAUCUGGGCCCAGUAUUAGUAGUAGUAGUAGUCUAUAGUAACACAGAGUGAGACAGACACCAUGAUGUGUCUAGACCUGUAUCUGGGCCCAGUAGUAGUAGUAGUCUAUAGUAACACAGACACCAUGAUGUGUCAGGACACAUUUGGAUCUAGACUUCCCUUGUAGCUUUAACGUAAGGUCAGUAACCCCAGGCAACGCUUAUCUGACGUCUUCAACACUUAGCCUGCCGAAUCCCUAAAAUAACUCUGCCCACGGUGCUGUGACGGUACAGAGCAGGGUGAGAGACAGGCAGAGACAACAC